UCAUGCUACUAAUGAGAGGAUUUCCCAUAAGUAAUGGUCAUGUGUCAUUCUAGGAAUUGAGAUGUUCUUCCAUGAUAGUGGCCCCAUGUUCUCCUCUUAAUGGAGAGGAAUUUUGCCUUGGUUCCCAAGCUAGUCAAGUUAAGGUUUAUAGGGUUUUUCUUUUAAAAAUUUAAAGACAUCUUAGCCUAUAAAUAAAGAUGUCUCCCCAUGUAAAUUCAUUUUGAUAUUAGUAUUGUUAUGCUGCCAA
rnacentral:lncRNA from 1 species